UUCGCAAUGCCCGAAAGGGUGACGAAGCGACGCCGCGUGGGUGAGGAAGGCCUUCGGGUUGUAAAGCCCUGUCAGGAGUUAAGAAAUGUAAGUGUGCUAAUAUCGCAUUUACUUGACGAAGGCUCCAAAGGAAGUCACGGCUAACUCUGUGCCAGCAGCCGCGGUAAUACAGAGGUGGCAAGCGUUGUUCGGAAUUAUUGGGCGUAAAGAGCACGUAGGUGGGUUUGUAAGUCAGAUGUGAAAGCCUUCUGUUCAACAGAAGAAUUGCAUCUGAAACUGCGAGUCUUGAGUAUAGGAGGGGAGAAUGGAACUUCUGGUGGAGCGGUGAAAUACGUAGAUAUCAGAAGGAACGCCGGCGGCGAAAGCGAUUCUCUGGCCUAUUACUGACACUCAGUGUGCGAAAGCUAGGGGAGCAAACGGGAUUAGAUACCCCGGUAGUCCUAGCUGUAAACGAUGGGCACUAAGUAGAGGGGUUUU
rnacentral:rRNA from 1 species